CGGAAGCGCCGCCUGCCGGAGCCCGUGACCGGCCCCGCCCGCCGCCAUAGGUCCCAGAGCCCCGGCCACCGCCAUCGCCGUGAAGAUCGGAGCCUUCUCCCGAAACCAUCAAGAGGUUGAAGAAAACGAACCUAACGGGUAAGAUCCAAACCCGUAACCCGUUUCUCUGUUAGCCCGGAUCCAUUCCAAAAAAAAAUUCCUUUUGCACGUGAUCUGCACGUGCUGGGCUAACAGUUAUCGGAG
rnacentral:lncRNA from 1 species